ensembl:lncRNA
AGACAGGACGUAGCUCAGCUCUGUGCUGGCCCCUGCAGGCUUCAGCCCAAGUUUCAGUGGGUCCUGAAUACCUGACCUGAAUUAGCCACAAGCCCCAGCUUCACCACAGGAAAAUGGAGAGGAGGAGACUGCAUCUUCGGGUGUGCCACCAUCUCCGCCGCAUCAAGCACAUCUCAAGUUCAACAACGGACCUGCACAGCUAGUGACCAGUGGCCACAGUGACUGAGGGCGGUGGUCUGGGAGCUCAGGUCUACACUAGCACACAACAUCCAAAGUCAGAACAGAAAAGCUGUCCUGCAUUUCUUCAACUCAAGUCAUCAUUAAUACUUAAAAAAGAAUCAAUGGGCUUAUUUAAAACCCAAAUGCGUUGUGGUUCCCAGUUUUACAGGGAGAAGCUCUAGGUCAGACUCAGCAGAUAGGCUUUAGACAACACUAACAGGAGUGAACAUUUUAUGAGAGCUGCCACAUACCACGCCGGCACAUCUCCAAGCAGGCAUCCAUGUCAAUGACAACAUGAACUAGGUGAUAAUGACGAUAGAAAUGAGGACUAGCAACCAAACAUAGUACUGGUUCUGCUACACGCAGCCCCAAUCAUCUUCAGAAACAAAUGCAAUCAAAAGGCUGAAAAACACACGCACUGCUACAGAGCUAGAAGUAGCUGGCGUCAGAAUGGAAGCCCAGUUCCGGCUGAUUCAAAGUGCUUGCCAUUUCAGCAUGCUGCACUGCUUCAUUUAGAACUUCCUGAAAUAGAGAGGAUUUCCAUUCAGGAAUAAAGCUCCUUACAAAGCCACCUGUAGAGGAUAAAGUCCUCUCUGUACAAAAAUCACCUGCUCCACAGCAGAAAAUGUCUCGAUACACAUCACACUGGUGCGGAUUUGUUUAAAGCACUGGAUAAUGAUUACAAGUGAAACGGAUAUUUCAAACACGGAAGAAUUCCAUGUGUACAGCACGGAUUGAUAUCUGGGCUAAUUUUUAAGCUACAAAGUAGCACCUGCUGGCUUCUAAUUAUAAGCAAGCGUUUUGUGAAUAGCUGGGAGUAGGAGAGACUCAAACCGCAUGUACAAUGAGCACCCACCGAAAGCUCAUUUCAAGUACAAUCCAUCAUCUGUGUCCAACAUGACAGGGAACUGGGCAGCACACACGCUCCGUCAGAUGCUGUGAUUAAAGGGAGGGACACUGCGGCUUGUCACGUGACUGCACAAGGCUCUCACCACCUGCUGUUAAUAACUGACACGCAAUCUGAGCCUGCUUUAUAAGAAUGAAGGGACAGGCUACACAUUCUCUCUGAUGGAAAUAGAAGGAAUUACUCACUCUUUCAUCUUCCUAAACACAAACUGAAACAAAUAACAUUUUUGUCAAAGUUUUGCACCCUAGGGACUGAAACCUGCAGUGAAAAUAGCAUUGACCAGGGGGCUUAGAGAAGUAGAGAGUAAGGGAAAGACAGAAAGACUAGGGGGAGAAAGAGAGAGACAGACAGACAGACAGACAGAGAGACAGAGACAGAUAGAGGAAAGAGAAGAGAAGAGAGAAGAGAAGACAGAAGAGAGACAGUUUUAUUUUUAUUAACUUGUGUCAGACUCUAUGGGAAACAAAUCACGCUUAUUUGAAGUCCUUUGUAAACAUUUAAUAUUUAAUUUCUAUAGAUUGAGUUGUUUCAAAUGCUGUUGAAUGAUCUCUGGGAAGCCUGUAAACUCAUAUUAAAAUUGUAAAAAUUGGGUGUUGUAUGAUGAUUCUCCUGACGUGCAAGAUCUCAUCCCAGAUAUCUUUAUCAAGAAUUACUCUCAACCAUGUUCACAGCAUGUGACAAAGUGACUGCUAUGUUGUUCAUCAUCUGCUCACGAAGGGCUCUGUUUUGAAAGCAUCAGAUUUAGUGGCAAGUUAUUACUGUUAUAAAUGCAGUUUUGAUAAUUUAUUGCCAACUGUUUUCCCAGAAAUCACCAUCCACUGAUACGCCAUCCCUUCAGAUUUUCACAAAGCAACAGUGCAGGUACCUGGCCUGGGAGUCUCAGAAGAGCCCUUGGAAAUGCCACCUGACACUUUCAACAAAUUAUUUUCCCCCUUUUAGAACAGUUAAGCAGACAAUACAUAAAUGAAGUAUAUGCAUAUGCAACUUUUGUUAACAUUCAGUUUCUAGGCAGCUCAUUAAGAUCUGAAAUAUCUUGAUUCUAAAGCACAAGUUCAUAAGAAGCACGGCAAAGACCAGCAGAGCUGUGCAUAUGCAUGGACCACAACACCAGCCUAUCUGCAAGAAUUUGUCACUUUAAAGGAAAUAGCCAUAAAUCAUAAAAAAACUGUUACAAAAAGAAAUUCCAUCGCCUUAGAAAUUGCCCAUUUAUGUACAAUUUAGAAACUACAAUUUUUCCUAAGUAUCUGCAAGGGAUUGGUUUCAGGACCCCUAUGGAUACAAAUAUCUACAGAUGCUCAAGUCCCUUAUGUAAAAUGGCAUAGUAUUUGCAUACAACCUGCAAACAUUUUCCCUGUAUACGUUAAAUCAUCUCUAGAUUACUUAUAAUAGCUAAUACAAUGUAAAUGCUAUGUAAAUAGUGUUAUGCUGUAUUAUUCAUGGAAUAAUAGCCAGAAAAAAUUCUGAACAUUUUUAGUAUAGACACAACCAUCAAUUUUUAAUUUUCUGAAUAUUUUCAACCCUUGGUUGUUUGCAGAACCUACAGAUAUGAAGGACCAGCUGCAUUUUUUUUCUAUAUUCCUCAAACUGAGCUAUCAUUUUCACGAAUAAAAUCUGAUUUCAUAGAUUUACUGGGCAUAUAAUAUAGUGACCUAGCAAAAAAAAAA